GUUAAGGUAGCUAAUUGGUUAUGACCUUGGACUUCUGAUCGGAAGGUCAUGAGUUCAAAUCCCAGCACUGCUA